AUGCAAGUCGAGCGGAUGAGAGGAGCUUGCUCCUCGAUUCAGCGGCGGACGGGUGAGUAAUGCCUAGGAAUCUGCCUAGUAGUGGGGGACAACGUUUCGAAAGGAACGCUAAUACCGCAUACGUCCUACGGGAGAAAGUGGGGGAUCUUCGGACCUCACGCUAUUAGAUGAGCCUAGGUCGGAUUAGCUAGUUGGUAGGGUAAAGGCCUACCAAGGCGACGAUCCGUAACUGGUCUGAGAGGAUGAUCAGUCACACUGGAACUGAGACACGGUCCAGACUCCUACGGGAGGCAGCAGUGGGGAAUAUUGGACAAUGGGCGAAAGCCUGAUCCAGCCAUGCCGCGUGUGUGAAGAAGGCCCUCGGGUCGUAAAGCACUUUAAGUUGGGAGGAAGGGCUUACAGCGAAUACCUGUGAGUUUUGACGUUACCGACAGAAUAAGCACCGGCUAACUUCGUGCCAGCAGCCGCGGUAAUACGAAGGGUGCAAGCGUUAAUCGGAAUUACUGGGCGUAAAGCGCGCGUAGGUGGCUUGAUAAGUUGGAUGUGAAAUCCCCGGGCUCAACCUGGGAACUGCAUCCAAAACUGUCUGGCUAGAGUGCGGUAGAGGGUAGUGGAAUUUCCAGUGUAGCGGUGAAAUGCGUAGAUAUUGGAAGGAACACCAGUGGCGAAGGCGACUACCUGGACUGACACUGACACUGAGGUGCGAAAGCGUGGGGAGCAAACAGGAUUAGAUACCCUGGUAGUCCACGC
rnacentral:rRNA from 1 species